GAAGAGAGAGAACAUGAGAAAGAAAAAGUUUUUAAAUAUUUAACUUACAAAAUAACAGCACAAAAGAAGGGAAUUUGAAUAUUAUGUAGCAACAAAAAAUUUUGUAUACUAAUGAAGUUAAUUUUCAUCAGUAUGACACUAAUAACUAAAAAUACAGCUUAUAUAAAAUAUACAAAUAUCCAUAGAAAAUGGAAAACAUAAGCAUGUCCUCCAAUUGGUAAAUGGAUAAAUAUUGUAUGUCCAUACAAUGGAAUAUUAUUUGGCAAUAAAAAGGGAUGAAGAACAAAAAAGGGCAUGAAGUUGGAGGGCCAGGGAGUUAGGGAUGCUCUAAGAGGCAUUAGAGCAGAGGUUCUCAACUUUCCUAAGAGCACAGUUCCUCAGGUUGCAGUGAUGCCUAACUAUAAAAUGAUUUUUGUUGCUACCUUAAAACUGUAAUUUUGCUACUCUUAUAAGUCAUAAUGUCAAAUAUGUUUUUCUUAUUUGUCUUUAGGCAAUCUCUGUAAAAGGGUCAUUCAACCCUCCAAAGGGGUCACAGCUGAAAACUGGGCGGGGGAGGGGAAGGAGUGGAGGUUAAACAUGGUCAAAGUAAAAUACAUUGACAAAGUUCCCAAAGAAUAAAAAUAUGUCUAAGGAAAUGAAGUAUUGAUAAAAACUACAACAUGGAUGAAGCUUAAAACACUGCUAACUCUAAAAAAGCAGCUGCAAAGGAUCGUUUAUUGAUUAUUCCAUUUAUAAGGAAUGUCCAGAAUAGUUAAAACCAUGGGAAAAGAAUGUAGACUGGUCAUUAACAGUAGGUGAGAGAAGAAAGUGGUAAGGAGUCCUGUGUCCUUUCUGAAAUUCAUUUAAAAAAAAGUAUAUUCAAAAAUCCUUGGUGAUGGCUGUGCAGCCCUGAAUACACACACACACACAUAUACACUCAUCCUUUACAGAGUAAAUUAUAUAACAUAUAACUUUAAUCUCAAUAAAGCUGUUUCUUAAAAUCACGCACCACAACUCAUGCUUAUAGCUCCAGCACCCAGGAGGUGGAGACAAGAGGAUCAGGAGUUUAAGACCAGCCUCAGCUACACAGCAAGUUCAUGGCCAUCCUAGGCUACAUAAAACCUUAUCUC
rnacentral:lncRNA from 1 species